UAUAUAUAUAUUUUUGGCAGGGUUGACAUAGUCACAAGUUGAUUCUGAUGUUGUCGAUCCAUCUUUUGAGCCACUAAUACUAGUAGAAGAUUCCACUAUAUAACUUGUAAGAUCAACCAUCCGGUUCUCGAAGUUGUCUUCUGCACUUGUUGAAGCUGUUAGCUCUCCCUCACUUGGAAGAUUCCUCGGCUAUGUGUCAACUACUAUGGUUGUAAAGCCUGGCCAUGUACUGGACUUCCUUUGUGAGAAUCAGAAUGUGAAACAUCCAGAUUUUAUUGAUUGGACCAAGGCAAAAAGUGUGCUGAAAAACCUCAGAAUCAAGGUUAAUAAUCUUGAGUUCAAAAUCAGUGGACUCAGUGAUAAUACUUGCAGGACUCAGAAUUACCAUGAAGAUAUCAAGCUCUGAUUGGCUGAACAUGUUCAAGUUUUGUUGCUUCAUUGCUUGCAUUGGAUCUAUCUUCAUAACCCUUUUUCUAUGUAGAUGAUGUAAUAGUGCUAUUGAGUGUGUGAUUUACAUAUAAUUAGCUUUACUUAAUGGUAGUUUUUAUUUAUAAAUGGUUGUAUUAGUGAUUAAGAAACAAUGAAUUGUAGAAGCAAAGGGUUUUGACAUAGCAAAUUGGAGAAGGAAAAGAAGCAAAA